UAUUAUUAGGUCAUGAGGAGAUGCAAUGGCAUGCAGGUUGAUUUUCUGAAGCUUAGCUAUUUUUGGCCACAUUAAUGUGCCUUUUUCAGUUGAGUCUGGAAAAGUUCCCCUAUUUACACAGCAUACAUACACAUUUUAUAAAGAGCAUUUCUACCUUUUCAGCCAAAUUAGUAAUAAAGAAAGAAUAAACUACGCAUACAGAGUCUUGAGAAGUUUUAAAUCUUUUUUUAUUUUCACUCAUAUAGUGCCUUUCUUCCUAAAGUCAUGGAGCUUUUCACAAAUAACAUGCAUAUUCAUAACACUGAAAUGCUGAUACAUCUUGUUGAGACUGUGAUUUCUUUUGAUGCACACAGGGAUGACGUUAAAUUUUAACAGAGGACUUUGACCUGUUCAAAGAGUACUAUUGGAUUUUCCAGGCAAGUUGAGGGAAUAUAGUUUCAAUAAACAGGGACAAGAUGAUUAUGAACACAUACUCCGGGCCUCCAUAUUUAGAGACAACGGAACCACCUCGGUUGCUUUGAGAGUCCUCCUUGCCAUGAUGUCAUUCAUGUAUGUCAGAAGACUAAUGGUCAAAGAGUGGAUCCUGCUGUGAUUUCAAACAGCAGUCUCAGGAAGGACUGGGAUUCAAAGACAGGAGCCCGGUUUUGAGAUAUCGGACUCCUUACUCAGGUGAAGAUCCCAUCAUUUCAGCUGGGAAUUUUGCCCACAUAAGGUUUGUGAAGGACUUCAUAUUUAGUUAGAUCGGAAAGCUAUCCUUCCCCUUUAGGCUAUGUUGUGAAUGUUACAGCAUAUGCUGCACUGUAAACCAGAGUGAAAUCUAAAAUGGGCAAUGUCAUCAAAACUGGAAUCUUAAACUCGAGACAGAGCAGACAUGUAUUAAUUGAUUAUAAGAACUGAGAUUUAUUUGUAACAUUUUUUAAUGGGGCACACAGUAUAACGAUGGGGCUCUCUCCUUUAAAAUAAGUGAAAAGUAUGGAUGCAUACUUCAGUAUACAAAUCCAGGUGAAAAAAAAAAAGCCACUACUGAUUAGAGGCAGUUACUGAAAAUGUUACGCUUUUCAUUCAAAACGCCUCAUUGUUGCAAAUUCUGUAAUUAACGGUUUUCAGAGCUUUGCCUUCUAGUUUGUGUAACUGAGACUUUUUACACUCGAACUGCAGGAACAAAAUCUCCUAGAAUGCUCAACUGCUUGUCUGCCUGACUUCACAGUAGAAAAAUAUUAUUUUAAAAAUUUAAGUUCUUAACUAUGCUAAGACACUAAGACAUUCUUAUGUGUUAAAAGAAAGUUUUCAGAUUGUAGUCUCAUUUGAGAAAAUCUCUAGGACAUCUUCAACUAUAAUCAUAAUUGUAUAUAAUGAUAUUCUCUAUAUGAUUUAAUCAUAUAAUCAUUUUCUCUUAUUAUUGUAAAAUGAAUUUUAAACUCUGUCUUUAAAUUUAUGUUUUAAAUACUGCAUUGUAAGUAAAUUGUUUCUAAAUCAAUUUUGUCACUUUAGUAGCUCCACCAAAGUUUUCUUUAGUAAUCCUUUUGAUGUGAUCAGAAUUCGGCUCCUGUGGACUAGAAGUCAGAUGCUGAGAGAGUCUCAGAAGGCUUUGAAAGCUAGUUUUACUUUAUAAUUCUAUCUGGACAGAGAGAUUUGUAACAACAAAGAAUAAAUAGGAAGAUGUAACAAAUGAAUGCUAGAUAAUUUUUUGCAUGUUUCUAUCCUCCUCCUUCAGAUGCAGUUUUAUACUCUUUUUUUUACUAGCAUUUUUCAUACAUGGAAAUAUGUAUAUGUCAUGUACAGGUUUCUCACAGCUUUGCUGAUAAAUGGUCUUUUCCGUGCAUCGUAUGACUAUUGCACAUACUCAGAACUGUUCUGGCUAUGAAUAGUUUUGUUUAUUUGCUUAUUUUAUUUAUUUCUGCAGAAAUUCCUGCCACCACAAAACAUGCAUUUUAUCAAAGCAGAAAUCUCUAUGAACUGCAGUCAAGAGGAAGUGUUUGCUUGCUUUCAAUUCAUUCUUCUGGUGCUUUUAAGGAGAAGCUGCUGCAACAGGAGCACAUCUUGUCCCUGUGAAUCCACAACACAAUGAAGUUUCAAGUUCCAAAACUGCAAACAAGCAGAAAAGAGGGGGAGAAGAGCAGGGUUGCUUUAGGGCAGUCCAUCGGUACCAGCACAUCAGGAAGUCUCACUGGCAUAAGCAAGUAUUGCUGGGCACCAGAGGAGAACACGCUUCCACACCAAUGGCAAUUCUGCAUAACAAAACACAGUGGCUGUGCGCCAUGGGUACACAGCAUCACUCAUUUUUUUCAUUUUUUUCAUUUU